ACUCCUACGGGAGGCAGCAGUGGGGAAUAUUGCACAAUGGGCGCAAGCCUGAUGCAGCCAUGCCGCGUGUGUGAAGAAGGCCUUCGGGUUGUAAAGUCACCUUUCAGUUGUGAGGAAGGUGGUGUCGUUAAUAAGCGGCAUCAUUUGACGUUAGCAACAGAAGAAGCACCGGCUGAACUCCGUAGCCAGCAGCCGCGGUAAUACGGAGGGUGCAAGCGUUAUCCGGAAUC
rnacentral:rRNA from 1 species